UUUUUGUUCUUUCUACUGUACAUCGCGUCUGCGGCCGGUGGUGAACGGUGGAUGAGUUUUCCUGGGAUCGGCACGAUGUUGAACUAUUCCGUUGACCAGCUGAGGAAGUUCAACAACUGCACUACUCCAUCGUGUAUUUCAGUCAUCAAACAGCUUGGACUCCUUCGCCGGCCUCGUUAUAUUCACAGGGGCUCCCGGAGAAAGCUUGUUUAUCUUCGAAACGGACUAUGCUGUAAAAGAGAAAAUUACAAGGAGGCCUGGAUCUCGGAAACUUAAAUAACUAGUGAAUCAGACGGGCCAUGCCAAUCCAUCUUAAGGCAGUCUGAGCUACUAAAAUAAUGAAAUUAAAAAGAGAGAAGAUCUGCGUCAGUGCUUUAGUGCAGAUGAAGGUGGCCGAACAGAUUUUCCCCAUGAAGGAGGUCCAGAAAGUGUAACUUCACCAGCAAAUUCAACAAUGUGGACAAGCUAGGAAAACAAGAGGUGUAAUUCAUGUCACAAUUCACACCCCCACACACACUCAGACAUAGGACACAUCCAAGCACCCAAUACUGCCAUAAUUAAAUGCAUAAGGAAUGCUUAUGAAUUAGAUUUUUCAUUAUGUAUGUAUAGAGUUUAUAUAUAGAUUUAUACCACAAUACAUUAUUCAGUUAUAUAAUUGUAUAUAUUACUGUAUAAUAAAAUUAUAUUAUUGUAUAAUUACCAUCGUAAAAUAAAUUAUUAAGUGUAAUAUAAUUAUGUUAUUAUAUAACAAAUACAAUAUAUUACUAUUAUUUUCUAUAUUACUAUUGUUAUAUUACAUUUAACAUUACAUUAUAGAAUGCCAAGUUGGUACAUGUGUUAUCAGUUUACCAUUUAGAAGGAAUCCUUACCAGUUGUUUUUGUGCCUGUGUUUGAAAUUAUACCGUUGCUUAAUAAAUGGAGUU